rnacentral:rRNA from 1 species
UAUCCCGAGUAGCAUGGGACACGUGGAAUCCCGUGUGAAUCAGCCGCGACCACGCGGUAAGGCUAAAUACUCAUAGGUGACCGAUAGUGCAAAGUACCGCGAGGGAAUGGUGACAAGAACCCCAGUAGGGGAGUGAAAUAGAACAUGAAACCGUAAGCUGACAAGCAGUGGGAGCCAACAUAGUAGGUGACCGCGUGCCUGUUGAAGAAUGAGCUGGCGACUUAUAGGAAGUGGCUAGGUUAAAGAGUUAGAUCUGGAGCCUUAGCGAAAGCGAGUCUGAAUAGGGCGUUUAAGUCACUUUUUAUGGACCCGAACCCGUGUGAUCUAAUCAUGACCAGGAUGAAGCUUGCAGCUUAAGCUGAAUUGGAGGUCCGAACCGACCGAUGUUGAAAAAUCGGCGGAUGAGUUGUGAUUAGGGGAGAAAUUCCAAUCGAACACGGAGCUAGCUGGAUCUCCCCGAAAUGCGUUGAGGCGCAGCGGUGACGAUUAUUUAUAAUGGACUAUCUAGGGGUAAAGCUACUGUUUCGAUGCGGGCUGCGAAAGCGGUACCAAAUCGUGGCAAACUCAGAAUACUAGAUAUAGUCUUCCGUCAACCAGUGAGAUUAAGGGAGAUAAGUUUCUUAAUCAAGAGGGAAACAGCCCAGAUCACCAGCUAAGGCCCCUAAAUGGUUACUGAGUGGAAAAGGAUGUGAGAAUGCUGAAACAACCAGGAGGUUUGCUUAGAAGCAGCCACCCUUGAAAGAGUGCGUAAUAGCUCACUGGUAAAGCGUUUUUGCGCCGACAAUGGCCGGGACUAAGUAACCUGCCGAAGCUGUGAUAUUUUUAAGAAUAGUAUUUUUAUUUUGAUUUUUAAGAAUAGGAUUUUUAUUUUGAUUUUUAAGAAUAGGAUUUUUAAGAAUAGGUAGGGGAGCGUUCUGUUUUGGGUGAAGUUAUCACGUAAGUGUUGAUGGACGAAACAGAAGUGAGAAUGUCAGCUUGAGUAACGAAAACAUUGGUGAGAAUCCAAUGCCCCGAAAACCUAAGGGUUCCUCCACUAGGUUCGUCCAUGGGGGGUUAGUCAGGUCCUAAGGCUAGGUCGAAAGGCGUCGUCGAUGGCAAACAGGUUAAUAUUCCUGUACUGAUUCUAUUGGGAACCAAGGGACGAAGUAGGCUAAACUGGAACUACUUUUGGAUUUUAGUGGAAGCGUUUAGGUGUUGAUGACUAGAAUAAAAACUAUGUCAGAGCUAAGGCGUGAUCCCUAUUCUAUACUCUGUAUAGAGUAGCCAGUGAUGUCAAACUUCCAAGAAAAGCUUGAACACCAUAACAAUAGAUUCACCUGUACCUGAAACCGACACAGGUAGGUUGGUAGAGUAUACCAAGGGGCGCGAGAUAACUCUCUCUAAGGAACUCGGCAAAUUAGCCCCGUAACUUCGGAAGAAGGGGUGCCCUUUUCAUAAAAGGGUCGCAGUGACCAAGCUCCGGCGACUGUUUAUCAAAAACACAGGUCUCCGCAAAGUCGUAAGACAAUAUAUGGGGGCUGACGCCUGCCCAGUGCCGGAAGGUUAAGGAAGUUGGUUAUUAAGAAAUUGAGAAGCUAACAACUGAAGCCCCGGUGAACGGCGGUCGUAACUAUAACGAUCCUAAGGUAGCAAAAUUCAUUGUCAAGUAAGUUUUGACCUGCACGAAAGGCGUAACGAUCGGAGCACUGUCUCGGAGAGAGACUCGGUGAAAUAGACUUGUCCGUGAAGAUGCGGACUACCUACACCUGGACAGAAAGACCCUAUGAAGCUUGACUGUAUCCUGGAAUUGGGUUCGGGCUUUUCUUGCGCAGUCUAGGUGGGAGGCUAUGAAGGUUCCUUUUCGGGGGAAUCAGAGCCGUCAUUGAGAGACCACUCUGGAAGAGCUAGAAUCCUAAUGGUGAUCUUUGAAUCAAGACACUUGACAGUUUCAGGUGGGCAGUUUAUUUGGGGCGAAUGCCUUACCUUUUAGUGGGGCCCUAUUAAAGCUUAAAGCUUUAUAAGUGUUUAUAAAGUGUUUAUUAAUAAUAGAAAAAAAUCGAAGAAAAAUAAAAAUAAAAAUAAUAUGGUAGCAAAAUUAACACCCUUAACAGAUAUACAAAAAGAAAAAUUAGUACCUUUACUAUUAACGGAUGCUUAUCUUGAACACAACAAUUCUUCAGGUAAUACGCGUUUUGGUUUCGAUCAAGUGAAUAGUCACUCUGACUUUUUUAUGGAAGUUAAAAACAGUUUUCAAAACUAUUUAUCUCCUACUAAUCAGAGACAGUUUGGUCCAUAUCCGGUGUAGGCGCUAGAGCAUUGAGAGGAACCUUCUAUAGUACGAGAGGACCUAGAAUGGGGGCGCCUAUGGUGUACCAGUUCUCACUCCAGUGGGAAACGCUGGGUAGCUAUGCGCCAAGUAGAUAAAAGCUGACAGCAUCUAAGUUUGAAGCUCACCUCAAGAUGAGUGCUCUCCAUUAGGUCGCGGCAAGACAAGCCGUUUAAUAGGCAUUAGGUGUACGAUCAGUAAUGAUUUUAGCCGAGAUGUACUAAAGACCGAUUGAUUUUGACCUU